GCCUCCCCUUUCUAACUUUGUUCGGAAUCACUGGGCUUAAAGGGCGCGUAGGCGGCUUCGCAAGUCCGGGGUGAAAGCCCCCAGCUUAACUGGGGAAGUGCCUCGGAUACUGCGGAGCUCGAGGGAGGUAGGGGCGGAUGGAACUUCCGGUGGAGCGGUGAAAUGCGUUGAUAUCGGAAGGAACGCCGGUGGCGAAAGCGAUCCGCUGGCCCUCUACUGACGCUGAGGCGCGAAAGCCAGGGGAGCAAACGGG
rnacentral:rRNA from 1 species